GCAUAAUAAAUAGUUUUUUAAUUGAAGACUGGAAUGAAGGGUUUAUACUAAGAAGGUAGUUUUAUUUAAUUAUUUUGAAUUUAAAUUAAAAGUAAAAAUGCUUUUAUAAGAUUUUGGGACGAGAAGACCCUAGAAGCUUAAAAUAUUCAAUUGAAUAAUUUUUGGUUGGGGUAACAUUUGAAGAUAAAAAUUUUUAAAAGUUUUAAAGUAAAAUAAAUUAAGUUACUCUAGGGAUAACAGCAUAAUUUAAUUAACGAGUUCUUAUUAAUAAUUUAAGUUUGUGACCUCGAUGUUGAAUUAAAU
rnacentral:rRNA from 1 species